rnacentral:rRNA from 1 species
UACGUAGGGGGCGAGCGUUGUCCGGAUUUAUUGGGCGUAAAGAGCUCGUAGGCGGUUUGGUAAGUUGGAUGUGAAAUCUCCAGGCUCAACUUGGAGGGGUCAUUCGAUACUGCCAUGACUAGAGUUCGGUAGGGGAGUGUGGAAUUCCUGGUGGAGCGGUGAAAUGCGCAGAUAUCGGGAAGAACACCCGUGGCGAAGGCGGCUCUCUGGGACGGUACUGACGCUGAGACGCGAAAGCGUGGGGAGCGAACAGG